CCUACGGGGGGCUGCAGUGGGGAAUAUUGGACAAUGGGGGCAACCCUGAUCCAGCCAUGCCGCGUGUGUGAAGAAGGCCCUCGGGUUGUAAAGCACUUUCAGUGAGGAAGAACGCCUGGUGGUUAAUACCCAUCAGGAAAGACAUCACUCACAGAAGAAGCACCGGCUAACUCCGUGCCAGCAGCCGCGGUAAUACGGAGGGUGCGAGCGUUAAUCGGAAUUACUGGGCGUAAAGCGCGCGUAGGUGGCUUGAUAAGCCGGUUGUGAAAGCCCCGGGCUCAACCUGGGAACGGCAUCCGGAACUGUCAAGCUAGAGUGCAGGAGAGGAAGAUAGAAUUCCCGGUGUAGCGGUGAAAUGCGUAGAGAUCGGGAGGAAUACCAGUGGCGAAGGCGGCCUUCUGGACUGACACUGACACUGAGGUGCGAAAGCGUGGGUAGCAAACAGGAUUAGAUACCCGUGUAGUC
rnacentral:rRNA from 1 species